rnacentral:rRNA from 1 species
AGCGAACGCUAGCGGCAAGCUUAACACAUGCAAGUCGAGCGCCCAGCUUGCUGGGAGCGGCGGACGGGUGAGUAACACGUAGGUAAUCUACCUUCUGGUGGGGAAUAACUAGAGGAAACUCUAGCUAAUACCGCAUAUGGCCCACGGGUCAAAGGCUUCGGCCGCCAGUAGAUGAGCCUGCGUCCCAUUACCUAGUUGGUAGGGUAACGGCCUACCAAGGGGACGAUGGGUAGCUGGUCUGAGAGGAUGAUCAGCCACACUGGGACUGAGACACGGCCCAGACUCCUACGGGAGGCAGCAGUGGGGAAUAUUGCGCAAUGGGCGAAAGCCUGACGCAGCUAUGCCGCGUGUGUGAUGAAGGCCUCCGGGUCGUAAAGCACUGUCGGGAGAGAAGAAGUUCUGACGGUAUCUCCCAAGAAAGCACCGGCUAACUCCG